rnacentral:rRNA from 1 species
AGUGAACGCUGGCGGUAGGCCUAACACAUGCAAGUCGAACGGCAGCACAGUAAGAGCUUGCUCUUACGGGUGGCGAGUGGCGGACGGGUGAGGAAUACAUCGGAAUCUACCUUUUCGUGGGGGAUAACGUAGGGAAACUUACGCUAAUACCGCAUACGACCUACGGGUGAAAGCAGGGGAUCUUCGGACCUUGCGCGAUUGAAUGAGCCGAUGUCGGAUUAGCUAGUUGGCGGGGUAAAGGCCCACCAAGGCGACGAUCCGUAGCUGGUCUGAGAGGAUGAUCAGCCACACUGGAACUGAGACACGGUCCAGACUCCUACGGGAGGCAGCAGUGGGGAAUAUUGGACAAUGGGCGAAAGCCUGAUCCAGCCAUACCGCGUGGGUGAAGAAGGCCUUCGGGUUGUAAAGCCCUUUUGUUGGGAAAGAAAAGCAGCAGGUUAAUACCCCGCUGUUCUGACGGUACCCAAAGAAUAAGCACCGGCUAACUUCGUG